rnacentral:lncRNA from 1 species
CAGGAAGUGUGUGCUGAGUCAACUAGGAAGUGGCAAGAGCUGGUGUCCUGCUUACACAGAGCUCUGUCUACCCAGAACUGGAUGUUCCUCCUGAAACAGGAUGGUAUGGCGGAGUCCCCUCCUGUUCCCCAGCUUUGGACAGGAAAGGUCUUGACUUAAAAAAGCAGCCUUGCAGUGACAGGAAGGCUGACCACAUUUGUAUUUCUCACAGAGGUUUGACAGUGUUAGACAGCUUCUCUAGAGACCCAAGGGAGGCCAGCUAGGUGUUCACCCCGGUGUUUUUCCUGAGAAUCCCUUUCCUAGACCACCUCUAAGCCAGCGAGUGAGACACUGGGCCAAAGGGCCAAAGCAGCUGCCUGGGAGGAGUCACCCAUGCGGUCUAUGGACACUGCCCCUCUUGUAACUUUCCAGUGCUCCGGGAUUCCGACUGGCAGCUCUGACGCCUGGUGGUCAUUUCAAGAACUGCACUCUGGAAGACUUGUCCAUUUUUAUUAUUUUUAGAUGCUUUAGCUUUCUUCUUCCAAUAAAUAUAAAUAAGAUGGACCUUAUACAUUAGCAGUCAUUACUGUUACUAAGUGAAUUAUUUAUAAGUAAAAUUCUUGCAAAUGCAAUCGACAAAAUAUAUGUUUGUAGAAGAUUCUGGAAAGAUAAACCAGAGACUCUUUGAUGAUCUCCAAGGGGCACUACUGUGGGAUGGAGAAAGAUUUAUUUUGCUUUAUAUAUGUGCUUCUCUCUGAAAUAUAUUUUAACUUAUUUUUCAGUUUUCUUAGUGCUUGGCACGGUGGCACAGCCCUUUAAUCCCAGCACUGUGGAGGCAGGUGGCUUUCUACAAGUUCAAGUCCACCCUGGUCUACAAAGGCUCCAAGUUUGGUGUUCAGACGCCUCUGGAGUGUUUAAGGGAACAAAGUACGGCUGAAUCCACUCUGGUCUCAAUCACUAACAGCAGCAGAGGACUGCAGAGCUGAACAGGACAAAGCAGCUCUGGGGAGUGCUGGGGUCAGAAAGCCAACAAGAAGCUCCUCACUGUUGACCCUCCCACCAACGCCCACCCGCCCCUCUACGAUACCCCACCUAUGGGAGUGUGGAUGCAUUAACACAUUUUAAGAACAUGGUCAUAGAUCCUGCCUGCGUCUGAGCCUGCAAUCAGCAAGCCUGGUGGCUAGGUCUCUGCUCCCUCCUUACUUGCAGCCUCCCUGGGUCUCCCUGGGAGAUCAGGCACCUCCCUUAGCCAGCCCCCUCCCAGCUUCCUACUGCCACUCGGAACAGAACUUCCGCAGCUAUCAUGUGACCUUGAAGAUGGAAGUCACAUGCCAGAGAAGACAGAAGACAGAGACCCUGAUAACUUCAAAGAGCCAGCCAAAUAAUGCCUGUUUACUCCUGAUCCUGGUAAAAGUGAAGAGAGUAAAUCCUUGCAAAUAAACAACUAGAUUUUCUCCCUAUUGCAUGCAGUUGAACCUGAUUACAGCAGACAAUGCGGUAGCCGAGUGUUUCUCUGUUCUCCUCUACACUUGCAAAGGAGCAGAAAUAAUGACUUAUGACUGAAGUAUCUGCUGGAGCCUCCCUCUGGUGGAGCUCAGCCACGCACUGUAAAAUCUGUGUGUGCUAGCUUUCUUACAGUUACUGACUUUGAAGUCUUUUUUUAGGAGGGGAGUGGGGUGAAGCUGGACUUUCAGUGACUGUUUAACCAUGGGGACAGGAUGAAGAGGGUAGC